rnacentral:rRNA from 1 species
GGGGGGGCAAGCGUUGUUCGGAAUUACUGGGCGUAAAGGGCGCGCAGGCGGCCUGGCAAGUCCUACGUGAAAUCCCACAGCUUAACUGUGGAACUGCGUGGGAUACUGCCAGGCUUGAGUCCGGGAGAGGAGAGUGGAAUUCCCAGUGUAGCGGUGAAAUGCGUAGAUAUUGGGAGGAACACCGGUGGCGAAGGCGGCUCUCUGGACCGGUACUGACGCUGAGGCGCGAAAGCUAGGGGAGCAAACGGGGGAUUAGAUACCCCGGUAGUCCUAGCCGUAAACUUUGAGCACUUUGUGUGGCGGGUAUCGACCCCUGCCGUGCAGAAGCUAACGCAUUAAGUGCUCCGCCUGGGGAUACGGUCGCAAGGCUG